GUGGGGAAUCUUGGACAAUGGGCGCAAGCCUGAUCCAGCCAUGCCGCGUGAGUGAUGAAGGCCUUAGGGUUGUAAAACUCUUUCGCCGAGGACGAUAAUGACGGUACUCGGAGAAGAAGCUCCGGCUAACUUCGUGCCAGCAGCCGCGGUAAUACGAAGGGGGCUAGCGUUGUUCGGAUUUACUGGGCGUAAAGCGCGUGUAGGCGGGUCGUUAAGUUGGGGGUGAAAUCCCGGAGCUCAACUCCGGAACUGCCUCCAAAACUGGCGACCUGGAGCAAGAUAGAGGCAAGUGGAAUUCCGAGUGUAGAGGUGAAAUUCGUAGAUAUUCGGAGGAACACCAGUGGCGAAGGCGACUUGCUGGAUCUUUGCUGACGCUGAGACGCGAAAGCGUGGGGAGCAAACAGGAUUAGAUACCCUUGUAGUCC
rnacentral:rRNA from 1 species